CGCCACAUCCUGAUUCACAUUGGAGAAAAGCCUUUUAUUUGUGCAGCUAGUGGCUGUGAUAAAAAAAAAAAAAAGAAUCCCACAGAAAAUCCAACUGGAAGAAACAUUUUGCAUGCAAACAUGAAAAUCUGCAAAAGCAAUAUGUAUGCAAUUUUGAAGGAUGUAAGAAGACCUUUAAGAAGCAUCAGCAGCUGAAAAUCCAUCAGUGCCAGCAUGAAAAUAAACCCCUAUUCAAGUUUAACCUUGAAGGAUGUGGAAAACACUUUGUUUCACCCUCCAGGCUGGGAGGACAGAUGCAGGUUCAUCAGAAAAUUAUAUGUCAAUAGGGAUGUUCUUUUGUGGCAGAAACAUGGACAGAGAGAAAUCCAUAGAAAGGAAAUAACAUGAUGUAUGCCAGAAAACAUUCAAAUGUGAAGAUUAUCUCAGAUAACCUGUGAAAACUCAUGCCUCAGAAAGAGAUGUAUGUCAACAUCCAAGAGAAGACUGCAGAAGAACUGUAUUUAAUCUCCAGAGCUGUCUUCUUUCUUUUCAUAAGGAGAAGCACCCAUUUAUGUGUGAACAUGCUGGCUGUGGCAAAAGGUUGGCUAUGAAACAAACUCUCACAAGACAUGCUAUUGUGUAUGAGCUUGACAGGAAGAAAAUAAAGAUCAAAGUAAAGCUAUCUUCUGAAAAAUGAAAUUUGGCCUCUCAUCUCAGU
rnacentral:lncRNA from 1 species